rnacentral:miRNA from 1 species
UGGUGUGAAAGUAAUUGCGGUUUUUGCCAUUAAAAAUUAUGGCAAAAACUGCAGUUACUUUUGCACC